rnacentral:rRNA from 1 species
AAGGGUUAGGCUGUUCGCCUAUUAAAGCGGUACGCGAGCUGGGUUCAGAACGUCGUGAGACAGUUCGGUCUCCUAUCCACUACGCGCGUUGAAGAUUGAAGGAAUCUAUCCCUAGUACGAGAGGACCGGGAUGGACGAACCUCUAGUGUACCAGUUGUCCUGCCAAGGGCAUUGCUGGGUAGCCACGUACGGUUCGGAUAAGCGCUGAAAGCAUCUAAGCGCGAAGUCGAUCCUGAGAUUAAUCUUCGUUAUGAGACACCUGAGAGACGAUCAGGUUGAUAGGCACUAGGUGUAAGCGUGGCAACACGUUCAGCCGAGGUGUACUAAUAAGUCCACU